CAGUGGAUCAACUUUCCGGUGAACAAUUUUGGUGAACUCAAGGAUCUGAAUUUUGACGUUUUGAAAUGUCUGGGCACGGACAUCAUGGACAUGGCCACCACGGGCACCAUGGCCACCAUGGCCACCAUGGACACCAUGGACAUGGUAGUGGUUUUUUGGGACCUUUCAACCCCGGCUUCCAGCAGCAAGGAAUUGGUGGUCACCAUGGGGGAUAUAAUGGUGGCUAUAUGGGAUAUGGUGGUGGCUAUGGGGCAUAUGGUGAUGGCUACUGGGGACAAGGCCAAUAUGGGCACCAUGGGCACCAUGGACACCAUGGGCACCAUGGGCACCAUGGACACCAUCAUCAUGGAUGUUAAGAAGUGUAGGCGCAGACACAGGGGAGGACACAGGCACCUGUCCUGCCACAAGAAGGGGAGGAAAUAUCAUGGGACUCCAGCAGUUCCUGCAGCAGUGACUCUGACUAGAUGAACAUUUCCGGAGGGACCUACGUGGAAACAUUACUAUCUCAUCCUUUGCUUUCAGUUUUUUUUUUUAGUGUUUACCUAAAAUUAUUUUAGCAGAUGCGAAAAUACAUUAAAUAUAAAGAAUAUGUAAAACAAAACACUCAUUCACAUAUUUAUAAAAAACUGGAUGUAUGGGUUUGUGGAGUAUCAUUUUAAGCCAUUUUCAAAGAUAACAUUAUGUUGUAGAACUAAAGUCAUUUGAACAUUUUUCACUGAGUUCAUAAAUCAGAAGCAGCUAUAUGUGUGAAAUGAUGCCAGCUAAAUUCUUUUGCAGCCAGCUGCCCCCUGCUGGUCAUCAAAGAAAAUGCAUUUUUUUAGCGUUGAAAAAAAAUCCAGAUUCUACAUCAAUCUUUUGUACAAAGACUUUGUGUAAACUCAUAAUCAGCUUCCACUUUAUAUUUACUUUGUGUUGAAAAAAUAAAUAUGAAAACUGAC
ensembl:lncRNA